UUUAUAUUGUGAGAACCACAAGACCCAGACCUACAUUGUGAUGUAUAGUAUGUCUCUGAAGUAUUAAAAAUGAAGGCACAGUCGCAGUUUAGAAAUUGCACUUCAAAUUUGAGCUUUGUAGAGUGAAGUUUCAAUGAAUGUCAAUGGACGGCGUUAGUUGCAAACAAAUGAUUAUAUUGUGAAAACUAUCAGGAUUAUGGCUUAGCCAUUGACAUGUUUAGUGGCAGCAGGGAUAGCUGAACGUUUUGAUAUAAGAUUUGU